UACGGAGGGGGCUAGCGUUGUUCGGAAUUACUGGGCGUAAAGGGCGCGUAGGUGGCCACUUCAAGCGUGCGGUGAAAGUCGGGGGCUCAACCCCUGAUCGGCCGUGCGAACUGGGGGGGCUGGAGCACUGUAGAGGCAGGCGGAAUUCCGGGUGUAGCGGUGGAAUGCGUAGAGAUCCGGAAGAACACCGGUGGCGAAGGCGGCC
rnacentral:rRNA from 1 species